UGCUUGCAUUCACCGUAAGAAGUUGAGUGGCGGACGGGUGAGUAACACGUGGGUAACCUGCCUAAAAGAAGGGGAUAACACUUGGAAACAGGUGCUAAUACCGUAUAUCUCUAAGGAUCGCAUGAUCCUUAGAUGAAAGAUGGUUCUGCUAUCGCUUUUAGAUGGACCCGCGGCGUAUUAACUAGUUGGUGGGGUAACGGCCUACCAAGGUGAUGAUACGUAGCCGAACUGAGAGGUUGAUCGGCCACAUUGGGACUGAGACACGGCCCAAACUCCUACGGGAGGCAGCAGUAGGGAAUCUUCCACAAUGGACGCAAGUCUGAUGGAGCAACGCCGCGUGAGUGAAGAAGGUCUUCGGAUCGUAAAACUCUGUUGUUAGAGAAGAACACGAGUGAGAGUAACUGUUCAUUCGAUGACGGUAUCUAACCAGCAAGUCACGGCUAACUACGUGCCAGCAGCCGCGGUAAUAC
rnacentral:rRNA from 2 species